rfam:Mus musculus chromosome 16, GRC primary reference assembly.
GGAGAGAUGGCUCAGUGGUUAAGAGCACUGACUGCUCUGCCAGAGGUCCUGAGUUCAAUUCUCAGUAACCACA